GAUGAACGCUGGCGGCGUGCCUAAUACAUGCAAGUCGAGCGGACGGACGAGAAGCUUGCGUCGCUGAUGUUCGCGGCGGACGGGUGUGUCACGCGUGGAUAACCUACCUAUCAGACUGGGAAAACUUCGGGAAACCGGAGCUAAUACCGGAUGAUAUUUUGAACCGCAUGGUUCAAUAGUGAAAGACGGUCUUGCUGUCACUUAUAGAUGGAUCCGCGCUGCAUUGGCUAGUUGGUGAGGUAACGGCUUACCAAGGCGACGAUGCAUAACCGACCUGAGAGGGGGAUCGGCCACACUGGAAGUGGGACAGGGACCAGACGACUACGGGAGGGAGCAGAAGGGAACGGGACGCAGUGGGCGAAAGCAUGACGGAGCAAGGGGGCGCGAGAGAUGAAGGCGUCGGGAUCGGAAAACCGUGUUAUUAGUGAAGAACAUAUGUGGAAGUAAACGUGGAGAUAGUGACGGUACCUAAUAAGAAAGCACCGGCUAACUACGUG
rnacentral:rRNA from 1 species